GACGGAGGAUGCAAGUGUUAUCCGGAAUCACUGGGCGUAAAGCGUCUGUAGGUGGUUCGAAAAGUCCACUGUUAAAAAUUGAGGCUUAACUUCAAAGAUGCCGUGGAAACUUUCAAACUAGAGUAUGGUAGGGGUAGAGGGAAUUUCCAGUGGAGCGGUGAAAUGCGUAGAUCUUGGAAAGACCACCAAUGGCGAAGGCACUCUACUGGGCCAUUACUGACACUAGAGAGCGAAAGCUAGGGGAGCAAAUGGG
rnacentral:rRNA from 1 species